UACGUAGGGGGCAAGCGUUGUCCGGAAUCAUUGGGCGUAAAGGGCGCGUAGGCGGCGCGGUAAGUCACCUGUGAAAUCUCCUGGCUCAACCUCGAGCUGUCGGUGGAAACCGUGAAGCUAGAGUCCGGAAGAGGAGAGUGGAAUUCCCGGUGUAGCGGUGAAAUGCGCAGAUAUCGGGAAGAACACCCGUGGCGAAGGCGGCUCUCUGGGACGGUACUGACGCUGAGACGCGAAAGCGUGGGGAGCGAACAGG
rnacentral:rRNA from 1 species